rnacentral:tRNA from 1 species
GCGAGAGUGGCGGAAUUGGCAGACGCGCUAGACUUAGGAUCUAGUACCGAAAGGUGUGCGGGUUCAAGUCCCGCUUCUCGCA